UACGAAGGGGGCUAGCGUUGUUCGGAAUUACUGGGCGUAAAGCGCACGUAGGCGGACUACUAAGUCAGGGGUGAAAUCCCGGGGCUCAACCCCGGAACUGCCUUUGAUACUGAUAGUCUCGAGUCCGGAAGAGGUGAGUGGAAUUCCGAGUGUAGAGGUGAAAUUCGUAGAUAUUCGGAGGAACACCAGUGGCGAAGGCGGCUCACUGGUCCGGUACUGACGCUGAGGUGCGAAAGCUAGGGGAGCAAACAGG
rnacentral:rRNA from 1 species